rnacentral:rRNA from 1 species
UUAAGAGUGUAUGGUGGAUGCCUUGACAUAAAAAGACGAUGAAGGACGUAGCAGCCUGCGAUAAGCUUCGGGGAGGUGGCAAGCAACCUUUGAUCCGUGGAUAUCCGAAUGGGGAAACCUACUCUGUUGAAGACAGAGUGCCCUAACGUUAGUUAGGGGGAGCACCCGGUGAACUGAAACAUCUUAGUAGCCGGAGGAAAAGAAAAUAAUAAUUAUUCCCUUAGUAGUGGCGAGCGAAAAGGGAGGAGCCUAAACUUUAUAAACCGCGCAACAAUUGAUUUUACUUUUGUGAAAGAGAUGUUGUAGAAGGAGUUAAGUCCACAUGUUUAUGGAGGGUUGUAAGAUGAUUACUUCUAUUUCUUAAAUAAAAUAGGGUAAAGUCAUAAAUAAUAUUUUUAAUCAAAAGUUCUGGAAAGUUCUGCUAUAGAGGGUGAAAGCCCCGUAGAUAAAAAAAAUAUUACUUUACUGUGAUUAUUCUUAAGUAGUGCGGGACUCGUGAAAUCCCGUAUGAAUCUGGGUCGACUAUGAUCCAAGGCUAAAUACUUUUUAUGAUCGAUAGAGAACUAGUACCGUGAGGGAAAGGUGAAAAGCAUCCCGGUGAGGGAGGUGAAAUAGUACCUGAAACCAUAUACUUACAAGGAGUCGGAGCUCGAGUUUACUCGGGUGACGGCGUGCCUAUUGAAGAAUGAGCCAACGAGUUUGUUCUAUGUGGCUGGCAUAAGCUCCUAUGGAGAAUAUGCAGAGUGAAAGCGAGGGUUAAUAGCCCGUUUCAGUUAUCUUAUUAGAAUAAGAUGCUUCUUAUUUUAAUAUGAUAAUUGAUCUGUCGCAUGGACAAGACCCGAAGCCGGGUGACCUAACCAUGGCCAGGUUGAAGUAUGGAGAAAUCCAUAUGAAGGACCGAACCCACUAGCCGUGCAACACUAGGGGAUGAGCUGUGGUUAGCGGUGAAAUUCCAAUCGAACUCGGCGAUAGCUGGUUCUCCGCGAAAUAGUUUUUGGACUAGCCUUGAGUGUUUAUUAUUGGGGGUAGAGCACUGAAUGAGGGCGGGCCGCAAGGUACCGUCUUUAACCAAACUCCGAAUACCAAUAAAUAUAACUCAGGAGUCAGACUAUGGGCGCUAAGGUCCAUCAGUCAAAAGGGAAACAGCCCAGACCGCAAUCUAAGGUCCCAAAAUAUAUGCUAAGUGUUAAAGGUGGUGUCGCGACCACGACAAUUAGGAGGUUGGCUUAGAAGCAGCCAUCCUUUAAAGAUAGCGUAAUAGCUCACUAAUCUAGUUGUUUCGCGCCGAAAAUUUAUCGGGGCUAAGCAUAUUACCGAAGAUGCGGAUGUCAUUGUUUACAAUGACGUGGUAGCGGAGCGUUCUAUUGGCGUUGAAGUCAAGUCGUGAGGCUUGGUGGAGUCAAUGGAAGUGAGAAUGUUGGCAUGAGUAGCAAAAAGGCAGGUUAAAACCCUGCCCACCGAAAAUCUAAGGUUUCCUGGGCAACGUAAAUCGACCCAGGGUUAGUCGGUCCUAAGACGUAUCUUGUGUAGUGCAAGAGAAGCCGAUGGACAAGCUGGUUAAUAUUCCAGCACUACUAUAAUUUCUGAUGGAGGGACGCAGUUCUUAAGUUUAAGCGUUUUAUUGGUAUAAACGUUGAUUGCUUUGAGAAAUGAUCUAGGUAAAUCCGGAUCAACAAUUUCAAGAAGUCGUCUGAAGGUGAAGCUUCGGUGGAACCAACUUAGGUGGGAGAAUUGCCAAGAAAAACUUCUAGGGUUAAAAAUUAUAGUAUCCGUACUAAAACCGACACAGGUAGAUGAGGCGAGGAGCCUCAGGUGUACGAGAGAAUCUUCGUUAAGGAAUUCGGCAAAACAGCGACCGUAAUUUCGAGAGAAGGUCUGCCAUGAGGGGCGCAAGUUCCGAGUGGCCGCAGCUAAAGAGUUCAAGGAACUGUUUAUCAAAAACACAGCUCUCUGCAAAAUCGAAAGAUGAAGUAUAGAGGGUGAAGCCUGGCCAGUGUCCGAACGUUAAGAGGAGGGGUUAUUCUACUUCGGUAGGAGAAGCUUUGAAUUGAAGCGCGGAUGAACGCCGGCGAUAACUAUAAUCGUCCUAAGGUUUUGUUUUUUAACUUUGUAAGUUAGAAAACAAAAGGACUAGGACGGUUAUGUAAAAUUCGUUGCCUAUUCAUAAACGUUAUGAAUGUCCUUAAAAACUCAGUAAAAUGCGAGGAAAUCCUCAAAAGAUCUUUGGUACUUUAUCUUUUAUUAAGUUAAAGUAAAAAUCUAAAGAUACACGGGGGCAAUUCGCAGGAUUAAUAAUUAAUUAAUCCUCAGAGACCAAAAGCUGAGGUUCUUGAAAAAAUAUGAAUCUAAAUCCUUUUUGGGUCAGUGGAUUCGUCGAUGGAGAAGGAACUUUUUAUGUAGGUAUAAAUAAAAAUAAUACCAUGUUCAACGGAUUUCAGGUUUUACCUGAAUUCAGAGUUGUUCAACAUAAAAGAGAUAUAAAAGUUUUAUAUGCUUUGAAAGAUUUUUUUAAAUCUGGUGUUGUCAGAAUUAAUCAUGAUGAUCGUUAUGAAUUAAGAAUCAGAUCUUUAGAAUGUAUAAAUAAUUAUGUCGUCCCUCACUUCGAUAAAUUCCAAUUAAUGACCAAUAAAAAAUUUGAUUUUAUUAAGUUUAAGAAAAUUAUAAAUUUAAUAAAUCAAAAAAAACAUCUGCAAUCCGAAGGAUUGAAAAAGAUAAUCCAAAUAUCGUUAGAAAUGAACAGAAAAAAUAAAGUAAAAGCUAAAAUUAUUUUAGAUGAAUUAAAUCAAGAACAAGAUAUAGUCCAUACUUAAUAGAAAUAUUAAGAAGGUAUAGAGCGAAAUUCCUUGUCGUGUAAGUUACGACCUGCACGAAUGGCUUAAUCACUUGAAC